rnacentral:rRNA from 1 species
AUUGAACGCUGGCGGCAGGCUUAACACAUGCAAGUCGAGCGAGCGGCGGACGGGUGAGUAAUGUCUGGGAAACUGCCUGAUGGAGGGGGAUAACUACUGGAAACGGUAGCUAUUCCCGCAUACCAUCAGAUGUGCCCAGAUGGGAUUAGCUAGUAGGUGGGGUAAUGGCUCACCUAGGUGACGCUCCCUAGCUGGUCUGAGAGGAUGACCAGCCACACGGGAACUGAGACACGGUCCAGACUCCUGGGGGGUGAAGCGGUGGAGAAGAUUGCACAAUGGGCGCAAGCGUGAUACAGCCAUGCCGCGUGUGUGAAGAAGGCCUGCGGGUUGUAAAGCUCUUUAAGCGAGGAGGCGGUAGUCGCAGAAGAAGCACCGGCUAACUCCGUGCCAGCAGCCGCGGUAAUUC